GACGAACGCUGGUGGCGUGCCUAACACAUGCAAGUCAACUUGAGGGAAGGAGCAAUCUGACCUGAUGGUGGCGCAAGGGUGCGUAACGCGUAAGUAACUUGCCCAAGGUAAGGGAUAACGUCGAGAAAUCGGCGCUAAUACCUCAUAAUGCAGCGGAUCCGCAUGGAUAUGUUGUUAAAGGUUUACCGCCUUGGGAUAGGCUUGCGUCUGAUUAGCUAGUUGGUGUGGUAAUGGCACACCAAGGCUGCGAUCAGUAACUGGUCUGAGAGGAUGAUCAGUCACACUGGAACUGAGACACGGUCCAGACUCCUACGGGAGGCAGCAGUGAGGAAUAUUGGGCAAUGCACGAAAGUAGUGACCCACGCAAUAGCCGCGUGGAGGA
rnacentral:rRNA from 1 species